AUGCCCCCACCAGUAUAUUGUGCAUAUAUUGAAAUAUCUAACUCUAUUUUCCAAGUCUUUUUCCCUUGUUAUAUAAAUGCUAGUGAUUUUCAACAACUUGCUAAGCAUUGGAGCAGGUCAUGAUUGUCAAUUGAGUUUGCCUUGGCUAUUUGUAUGAUUUGUUGUGUAAUUCUCAAUUUUUGCAUAUUAAUUGUUUGCUUUGAUUUGUUUUUUGUUCGCUUUUCCCUAAACUAUUCAUAAAAGUUGAAAUAACAACAGAACUUUAGGAAUGAAAAUGCAUAUAAUAAUAGUACGUCACCUUUUGGAUUCAUUAUUAGGGUUGGAUAUGCAGUUGUGUUCUUAUUGCCUAUGAUAGCUUUGGAAUGAAGCAUUUUUUUAUGCCUCAAACAUUACAUGUUAUAACAAAUUGAUACAUGAACUAAGGAUUUUACUGUUUUACUAUCUGAUCUUUCAAAUAGCAAAAAAUGCAUACCUCUUUACACUCUCCUUCAUAAGGUGCCGGAGAUGAUGCAUGACACUCACCUGGUGCCCUAUCAAAAUACAACUUGCCUCUCUCACAGGAAAACUAGUGACAAAAAAUUUGAUAGAUUGAAACAUAAAACAUUUUGAUACGAGUACCGAGUAUCAGUGCUUACAAAUAUUUCUGAUGCUGAAACUGUAUCACUCCAAUGAUUUAUUUCCUCACAUUGAUUAAGGUCCAUAGAUUAACAGGAAGAGAUAGACUACUCAAGGGAAAGGCAUUCAGCACUACCGAGGUCAAUUGUGAUCCGAGGUGCCAAGCAAGAGCCACAUGGCAUUUUUCUCAUCUUAUGAUGGAGAAUCCAAACAUGAUGCAUAUUUAUAAUAGUUUUGAAAGAUUGGAUUGUCAAAGUUUGAUAUGCAGUUGAUAUAUUGUGUAAAUUCAGCUUUUUUAAACUCUAGUAUGUGAAAUGGGUCCUCUCUCUCUCUCUCUCUCACACACACACACACACAGGAUUUU